AUGAGGGACGCCGGCAUGACGAUCCGGCGGCGCAUCAUGUACGCCAGCGCGCGCACGGCGCCGUCCGGGUCGAUCUCGAACAGCUUCCCCACGAUCCGCGUGUAGGCCAGCUCGUGCCGCUUCUCGUCAGCCGCGAUGGCACCGCAUAUGCGCGCGAGCGCCACGUCGCCAUACUCCUUGGCGCGACGGGCUGUGUUGCCGUGAGAGAUGGAGGUGGCACGCUCCUGGAAGGCGACGUAG
rnacentral:rRNA from 1 species